rnacentral:rRNA from 1 species
GACGAACGCUGGCGGCGUGCCUAAUACAUACAAGUUGAGCGCUGAAGGUUGGUACUUGUACCAACUGGAUGAGCAGCGCACGGGUGAGUAACGCGUGGGGAAUCUGCCUUUGAGCGGGGGACAACAUUUGGAAACGAAUGCUAAUACCGCAUAAAAACUUUAAACACAAGUUUUAAGUUUGAAAGAUGCAAUUGCAUCACUCAAAGAUGAUCCCGCGUUGUAUUAGCUAGUUGGUGAGGUAAAGGCUCACCAAGGCGAUGAUACAUAGCCGACCUGAGAGGGUGAUCGGCCACAUUGGGACUGAGACACGGCCCAAACUCCUACGGGAGGCAGCAGUAGGGAAUCUUCGGCAAUGGACGAAAGUCUGACCGAGCAACGCCGCGUGAGUGAAGAAGGUUUUCGGAUCGUAAAACUCUGUUGGUAGAGAAGAACGUUGGUGAGAGUGGAAAGCUCAUCAAGUGACGGUAACUACCCAGAAAGGGACGGCUAACUACGUG